CGUCUAUAUACGUAUAGCAUAUCAAUAAGCGGAGGAAAAGAAACUAACAUAGGAUUCCCUUAGUAACGGCGAGUGAAGCGGGAAGAGCUCAAAUUUGAAAUCUUCAAGGUUCUACCUUGACGAAUUGUAGUUUAUAGAAGUGUUUUCUGUAGUGGAGUUUGGUAAAAGUUCUUUGGAAUAGGACAUCAUAGAGGGUGAGAAUCCCGUAUUUGGUCAUUAUCUCCUAGCGUUGUGAUACACUUUCAAAGAGUCGGAUUGUUUGGGAAUGCAGUCCAAAAUGGGUGGUAAAUUUCAUCUAAAGCUAAAUAUUGGCGAGAGACCGAUAGCGAACAAGUACCGUGAGGGAAAGAUGAAAAGAACUUUGAAAAGAGAGUUAAACAGUACGUGAAAUUGUCAAAAGGGAAGCGUUUGACACCAGUGUUGUUUUUCCGAAAAUCAAUUACGAAUGCUUUAUUUUAGUGUAGUAUUGACCUUCAUCAGGCUUGCUUCCUUUUAUCGAAUCUUUCUUAAUGCACUUUUCGGUUAACAAGUCAACAUCAAUUUCUUUUGUUGUAAAAGAGUAUGCGGAAGGUGGCUUUCUUUCGGAGAAAGUGUUUAUAGCCCUAUACUUCUACAAUCGGAGAGAUUGAGGUCUGCAGCGUAGAUCCUUCGGGGUUAGAUACACUUGUGCUAAGUUGUAGCUUUUCAUAGACAACUUGUUGACUAUGUUUAGUCAUGCGGCUUACUCGCUUAUGCUAUUUUACCUACGCUUAGGAUGUUGACUGAUAUGUAGUCGU
rnacentral:rRNA from 1 species